UUGUAUGUCACAUCAGACCAAAUUUGGUAUAUGCCAGAUUUGGCAUAUUCCAUUUAUGGAAUUAUCCCACAAUAGAAUUAACACACCACACAAAAUUAAAUCACCACAGUAAUUAAUUUGACAAGGGGUUCCCACUAGUCAUAGACACCAGGGGCCCGUAGUGCAUGACUCGUGGGCCUUGUGGCCCACUUGUCAGUGGCACAACUACAGAACACAAUAGAGAAAUAAAAGGGGAGUGUCGAGCCCACCACCUCCUGCUCUAACCAUAGUGCCCCCACCAUUGGGCUACACUAAUGUAGCUGCACUAACAGGGGGACGCGCCUUGCCUGCGGCUGCUGCGUGCGCCCAUCCGUGCGACCCAGCCAUCGCACGACUGUGGCUCCAUGCACGCCACGCUCCAGAAUUCCUGCGAAAAAAUAAAACAAAAUACACAUCCUAAUACAGAUUUUUUUCCGUAAUAUUCUCAUCAUUAAAACAAAAAGCAAAACUGGAGGGAACAAUCCAAUCUCCCGCCUUCUUGCGAAUAGAUCCACAACAUAUACAAAAGCGCGCCAAAAUGCAAAUCUGUAGUCUAUAGUUCAUAGGAGGCAGGAGCGACCUACGGUCUUACUACAAUCAAUAGCGGCCUUUCUUGAAUUGAGCAGCAAAGUAAUCCACGUCCCUAAUGGCAUCUCCAAGUCUUGCGUCCCCCAUGGCUUCUCCAAGGAGUGGUCCGAGGAACCAGGAGGGUGACGAUCAAUCUCACACACCGAAAGUAAGAAACCUGACUCAGUUCUUGACGGUGAAUCUUUCAAUUAACUGCGUCAUGAUCUCGAGUGUUGGACGGGAAAAAGCAGCAUGAUGCACCCUUGUACAGCUUCUACAAAAACCGAUCAUAACCUGCAGAUGCCAAACAUCGUGGAUCAUAAGAUUGCAGUCUCUCUCCCCCUCCCCUCCCCUCCAAGCAUCAAAUCCAUGGCGCUGACGCUCCGGUCGACGACGUCCUUCCUCUCGCUCCCUCGACCCCUCCUCCAAGCUCCUCCACAAGCCUGACGCGCCGCCCUGUCGUGUGACCGGUUGAGGCGCCGGUCAUGGCCAAGCAGUUGCACAGCCAGGUCCGGCAAGCGCAGGCGGGCCACAGCCACAAGCCCGACGAGCCACCCUGUCGUGUGGCCGGUUGAGACGCCGGUCAUGGCCAAGCUGCUGCACAACCAGGUCCGGCAAGCGCAGGCGGGCCGCUGCCAGCCAAGCCAUGCUCCACGCUUGUGAGCGGCGACGUACGUCUGGCCUGCUGCAUGAAUGGGCGGCCGGAGGGGCGAUGGAGAUUGAGCUUCACCUCGAGCUUCAGUUCAAACAGAAGGGGAAAGAUGUGGAUAGGAGUGUAUUAUGGAAAAGAAUCUGUAUUAGGAUGUGUAUUUUAUUUUAUUUUUUCGCAGGCGCGUGCGUGAGUCACAGCCGUGCGAUGUCUGGGUCGCACGUAGCAGCCUAACAGGGGAAGCAAGUCCACGUAUACUGACUAUCUUGCCAAGUGCACACAGGGGAAAAUCCCUAAAAUAUAAAAGGAGCGCCAGGGCUCAAACCCUUGACCCACUCCACUGCGGUGGUUCUGUUGCCAGUGCGGUAGGCUGCGGGUGAUUGCUAUAACAGAGGAACAAAAGCACUUAUAUAUACUCAGCUAGCUGAAUCACAGAAUGGAAAAACAACGAAUAAAAGUGGGCGCUGGGAGUUGAACCCAAGACCUCACGGUUUGCGCGCAGAGAACAAACGAGCUGGGCUACUGGGUGGAUCUACCAAAGGAGGGGAUCCACACUAGCUGAAGUGAACAAAGGGGUUCAUGCUCUGUUUUACAGAGAGACGCCGGUGACGACUCUCACCGAAGCUACGCAGGCACACAGACGCGGGCAGCUACGCGGGGAACUGCUACGCUGAACUACGCUCUACGAGCUACAGAUCAGAGAGAAACACGAGCCAUGCAUGCACACAUGCACUACGCGUGCAACUGCGCUCUGCAUCGUCGGAGAAACUACGACAAGCUGCAGCUACGCGGGGCGGCGAGGCUAGCAGGGAGAGAGGUCAAGGGGAGCGGGGCGUUGCUCACCCAGGGGCGGAGAAGAGGGGUUCUGGGGAUGGCGAGGAACAGCGGCGACGCUCUCCUGUAGAAGAUGCUCGCCGGAGGAGGCCGAAGUAGUGGACGUCGGCGACAUUGUGGUAGAAGACCUUGGCGUCCGAUCUCUUCGGGAAUGGAUCUCCCUUAGCGUCUGCAUGCUCCUCGUGCAGUGGGGGAAGAAGAGGGGCGACGCUACACCGGCGAUGAGCUGGAGCUGGAGCAGGAGCUGUCCAUGGUGACGGCGAUGCUCGGGAGCUCACCCCGACGGCGAUAGGGGGAGAGGAGGAUGGCAUCGGUGCGACUAGGGCUAGAGAAGAGCUGGGGCGGCUUUAUAGGCUCGAUCCACGCACUUGGAGCCGUCGAUCGAGAGAAAAAGAAAGAUCGGCAGCGGCCACACUCUUCAUACAGUGGUGACGUAGGGAGGUGGACGUAGGGCUCUCGAGCUGGGCUCUGGGCCGAAAGACACAUCACAUGGGCCGACUACUCUCCCUCUCUCCUUUAAAAUCUUUUGCAAAUAAAACAUGACAACCUGGUUGAUUAAAUCACACGGCCUUAAAGGAAAAGAUUUAAAACAAAAUAAAAUAGUUGUGGUCUUCUAAAAUCAUGACACAAUUUAUAAAAAUAAAUUGGGCAUUUUGAAGAGGAAAAUAAAUGUCUUUUAUUUUAAAUAAGACUCUAGUUUUAAAUAAAAACCAAAAAUAAAAUAGGUUCAACCAAAGGGGGGGCAUACCAAAAUUAAUAAGAAGAUUUUUAGAAGGGGAGGAACUUUUUAUUGGGGCAAAAACAGUAACUUAUAAAUCUGCCUCUAAUAUAAUUGGAAAGGAUGGAGUUUUGAUACUAUGGUGCAACAAGGGGUUUUUAGGUGGAUCUUGUUGCACCCAAUCGUAUGCAAACACAAAGGCACAUCCACACAUUGCACUCACACUUCAUACCAAGGUGCAACACAAGCAACACAAGACAAGAACAAAAUGAAAUGAUGCUAUGCAUGAUGUCGUGAUGCAACAUAAAAUGAAGACACUAUUAAGCUCAUACCACUUUGAUCAACAUAGCAAGGUUUUCAUACAAGGAAAUAUGUACAAAAGGGGAAGGCAUUGCAUUGGGGCUCUUACAACUCUCCCACACUACAAGAGGAUCUCGACCAGAGAUCUAUGAUUGGAAGAACUCAGGGUAUUCGGAACAGAGUAGGUCCUCAUGCUUCCAAGUGGCUUCUUUGUCGGAAUGAUGUGACCGUUGCACUUUGAGGAACUUGAUGGACUUAUUGCGGGUCUUGCGCUCAGUCUCUUCAAGAAUUGAUAUAGGAUGAUCAUGGUAGUAUAGGUCGGGCUGGAGAUCAAUAUCUUGGAGGUCAACUGUGCACUCGGUAGUCUUGAAGCAUCUCCGGAGCUGAGAGACAUGAAACACAUCAUGCACAUUGGAGAAAUUGGAUGGAAUAUCUAACUAAUAUGCAAGAUCACCUCCCUUGUCAACAACUUUGAAAGGACCAACAAAGCGAGGAGGAAGCGUUCCUUUGAUGCUGAAGCGUUGAGUGCCCUUCAUGGGAGACACUUUGAGAGACACAAAAUCAUCGAGCGGAAAAGUCAUGUCAUGAUGCUUGCUAUCGUAGUAGCUAUUCUGGCGGGACUAGGCUGCUUUGAGAUUAUCCCAAAUGACACGACACAUUUCUUCUGCUUCGGCGAUCAUGUCAUUACCAAGAAUCUGACGCUCACCAGUCUCAGACUAAUUGAUUGGGGUACGACACUUCCUGCCAUAUAGAAUCUCGAAUGGGGCCUUUCCUGAGCCUGCUCGAAAGUUGUUGUUGUAUGAGAAAUCGACAAACGGUAGGCAGCCUUCCACUUCAUGCCAAAAGAAGUCACACAAGCUCUGAGUAUAUCUUCAAGAAUUUGAUUGACUCUCUCAACUUGACCACUUGUUUGAGGAUGGAAGGUUGUGCUGAAACGGAUCUUAGUACCCAUCGCAGUCUAAAAGGAGUCCCAGAACUUCGAAGUAAAGAGGCUUCCACGAUCUAAAGAAAUGAGCAUUGGAACACCAUGCAAAGCGACUAUCCUUGACGUAUACAACUCUGCAAGAUGAGCUGCCGAGAUAGAUUCUUUGAUCGAAAUGAAGUGAGCAACUUUUGCCAACUUGUCGAUGACGACAAAGAUGGCAUCGUUGCCUCUCUUGGACUUCGGAAACCCAAUGAUGAAAUCCAUCUCCACAUGAUCGAAUUUCUACUCGGGUAUGGGCAAAGUAUGAAGGAGGCCUGCUGGACUUUGAUGCUCCGCCUUCACUCUACGAGACACAUCACACUCGUUCACGAACUGAGCAAUUUCAAGUUACAUGCGAGUCCACCACAAGGUCUGCUUCAGAUCUGGAUACAUUUUGGAGCUACCUAGAGGUAUCAAGAGGAGGGAAUUAUGGGCUUCAUCCAUGAUAACUUUCCUGAGCUCUCAUUUCGGAAUGACAAGGCAGUCCUCGAAGAACAAGGUAUCUCUGUCAUCAACACGGAAGCACUUAUAUUUCGAAAUGCUCUUUGCCAAGCCAAUCUUCACUUUCUUCACCAUAGCAUCAAGAAGUUGAUCCUGACGGACUUGGUCUUCCAAGGUAGGAGAAAUGUGGAUAUUAGCAAGAAAUCCCUGAGGUACUAUCCGAAGGUUGAGCUUCCUCAAAGAUUCACAGAGAUAAGGCUGGAGAGGCUUCAGAAUGAGACUGUUGCAGUAAGCCUUUCUGCUCAAAGCAUCUGUAAUGACAUUUGCUUUGCGUGGAGUAUAGUCAAUGCUUGAAUUAUAAUCUUGGAUCAUCUCCACCAAACGAGUUUGACGAAGAUUGAGAUUAGGUUGAGUGAAGAUGUAUUUGAUACUCUUGUGAUCAGUGUAGACUUCAACCUGUCUGCCCAACAAGAGGUGUCCCCAAGUAAACAAAGUAUGGACCACUGCCGCCAACACAAGAUCAUGAGUGGAGUAGUUUUUCUCACUUGGCUUCAACUUCCUCAAGGUAUAAGAAACCACUUUCUUCUCUUGCAUCAGGACUGCACCAAGAUCUUGAAGAGAGACAUCACAGAACACUUGAUAAGGCUUGGAAUCAUCACGAGGAGUCAAGACUGGAGUUGAGGUGAGCUUAUCUUUGAGUGUAUCGAAUGCCAGCUAACACUCUGUGGACUAGACAUACUUCACACUCUUCUGAAUAAGGUUGGACAGAGGCUUCGCAAUCUUGGAGAAGUUCUCAAUGAAUCUUCUGCAAUAGCUUGCAAGCCCGAGAAAGCUUCGAAGGCGUUUCACAUUCUGAGGAGGCUGCCACUGUACAAUGGCCUGAAUCUUAACAAGAUCCACCUUGAUGCACUCGGAAGAGAUGAUGUGCCCAAGGUACACAUCUUCCUUCAACCAGAAUUCACAUUUGGAAAACUUAGCAUAGAUCUUAUGCUCUUUUAGCUUAUCAAGCACAAGCAGGAAAUGUUCUUCAUGCUCUUCCCCCAUUUUAGACUAGACCAGAAUGUCAUCAAGAUACACCAAGACAAAUUCAUUCUUGAAGGGGGAGAAGAUAUAAUUCAUCAUUUGAGAGAAAGUCGGAGGAGCAUUGGCGAGACCAAAAUACAUCACUCUGUACUCAUAAGAGCUAAACCUUGUCCUGAAGGUAGUCUUGGGUAUAUCUUCUUUGCGAAUGCGGAUUUGAUGAUAGCCCAUACAGAGAUCAAGCUUAGAGAAAAUCUUGGCCCCUUUCAAUUGCUCAAACAAUUCAUUGAUGUUGGGAAGUGAAUACAUGUUCCUGAUUGUCUUCUUAUUCAGUGGACGGUAAUCGAUACAGAGUUAGUCCGUGCCAUCCUUCUUCUUGACAAACAGAAUACCACAACCCCAAGGAAAUGAACUUGGUCUGAUCAUAACCACACGUUCUUUCUCAUCAAGCUGCUUCUGCAACUCUUUCAGCUCUUCGGGACCAAGUUUAUACGGACGCUUGCAGACGGGUUCAGUUCCAGGUUCAAGUUCAAUUACAAACUCAACUGCCCUGUGCGGAGGCAUUCCUGUAAAUUCUUGUGGAAAGCCAUCUUCAUACUGAUAGACCACCAGAACUUGAGAAAUGGGUGAGAUUUCGCCCUUCUCAUUGAGGGAAAAGACACGGAUCAUUUCAUCGCGAGCAACGAAAAUGAUCAAGUCCUCUGAAGGAUGAGUCAACUUGACUUCUUUGGCUUCACAAUCAAUAAACGCCUUGUUCAUUGCUAGAAAAUCCAUGCCAAGGAUGAGAUCAAUAUCCGAAUUGCCAAGGACAAUUGGAGAAGCCAGAAAGGAAUAACUGCCCAUCUUGACAGAAGCAUUUUGAACAAACCCAUUUGAAGUCAUUUGCAUGCCCGGAGAAAUGAUUUUAAACGGCUUUGGGGUGUCCUCUAUCACUAAAUCAUGCUUAGAAACAAAAGGCCUCAAAAUGAAUGAAUGCGAUUCACCAGAAUCAUAUAAAACUUUGGCAGGAAUAGAGUUAACCAAGAGAUUACCCAUGAUCACAUAUGAGGAGUUCUGUGCUUCAGCUGCAUUCACCAUGUUCACCCUUGUAGUUCUUGGAUUAAACUUCACCAUUGCAUUGCUUGGAGGCCUGAUUGCAGGAGGAUGUGGAAGACUGUAACACCCUAAAAAUCGGGUUAUCGAUUUUUGUGCUGUUAUUCCUUCCUAGCUUUUCUCUCCCAAAUUUUUCCUCUGGAAUUUGUCAAAUGACGAGGUGAAUCCAGUCUAUCCUCAAUCUCUCACUACCUUUCCCAUGUCCUUGUCCCAUCUUGCCCUUGUUCGUUAAACCCCGAACCUCUUUGAAACCCUAGCUCCGAAAUAUUGGAAUUGGGAAUCCUGCCCUUGUGUUUGCAAAGGAGCCAUCAUUUCCCUUGCUCUGAUCAUUCUUCAAUUAUUCCCAGAGAUCAUUCUUCCCUCAUAGACUCUAGAUGUGCAAAAAUAUUGCCAAGUUAGCUACAAUAUUUCUCUUCUAGAAUUAAUUCCCGUUUCUGCCUUUCUGAGGAAUUAAAUCCAAGAAAAUGUCUAUCCAUCUCCCAAGGUCAUGAAAACUUGUAGAGAUAUUCUUUGUGAUCAUAUGAAGCUCUCAUAAAAUAUUGGCCAUCACUAAGUAUGGAAAAGUGCCUUUUUCCAAUUUAAAGCCAAUAUUCCAAUUUGGGGCCUUUUCAAAGGAACUACCAUUUUGGUAGCUAGGAAAAAUCCCAAAUAAUUUGUGGAGCUUCCCAUAUCCAUAUAUUCAUCCUUUCCAUCAAAAUAUCAAGUUCCCCAAUUCAAAAAUUGAGCACACCAUCCCUUUGCAGAUUCUGUCCAGAUUUUCUAUUUGCAAAGGAAGUGCUUGAUUCCUUGUUUCCCUUGAGCUGAAAUUUUGCAGAGUAGUUCAUUAUGAUAAAUAAUCCUUGUUCACCAAAAUUUAGCCCAUUCCAUCAAUCCAUUCUUCCUUAGUAAAUUAUUUAAGAUUUUGUCCAGAUUGGAGCACUGUGAAGGAAGUACCAUUUAUAUUUGUGAACAUGGUAUGAAACUUUUAAAGUGACUUCAUAUGCCCAAAUGAAGAGUCUCAUCCAAGUUUCAGCCAAUUCCAUUUAGCUAAUUAACCCGAGCAUCAUCUUCUCUAUUUCUGGCCAGUAUGCCAACUUACAAAGGAAGUACCCUCUAGACUUAUUGGAUUGUGCUAAAUUUUGGCCAGGACAGUGACCUUAGUGAGUGGUCAACCUCAUCCAAAUAUCAUGCCAAGAGGUGCACUGUGGUGGCCACACCAGAGCAGAAACACCUUGUUGUUGGAAACUAUUUGGCCUUAGUUUGGUCACAUCAUUGCUCCCCAGUGCUAUCCUGAUUUAUAGGUCAACUCAGAAUAAUGUGUAGAUAAGCCUAGAUAUGAUUUGAGAGCUUGUGGGGCAUGGCAAUGUCGUGGCACCGUGGUGACCACGUGCAGAGCGUGUGAAAACAUGGCUCUGUGCGUUUGAGUAGACGGGAGCUUGUCUCCAGCAGGUUCUAACUUGUCCGGGAGUGUAGUAGAGUUUCUCCCGGCGUGCGCAAACCCUCUAGAGCCCUCUCCCCCUCAUCCCCUUGCCCCUGGAGGUGUAUGCCGAGGGAAUACCGCCAUGGAUUCUCGGAGCAUCUCCCGGCAUCGCGAGAGCCCCUCUCCGCAGCUAUAUUAGGGCGUGCCCGAGCCAUUGACGUUCUCGAGCAACCUCCCAAGCCCCUCCCUAAGCCCUCUGGUGAUCCCUAUGGCCGAAUGCUCGAGCAUCCGCCGUCAGAUCCCCAUGGCAAUAUUGGCUCCAGAGCUCUCCCCCUCUCCUCUAGUCAUGGUCACAUCAUCCCCAAGUGCUGGUGAAGCCGCCGUCGAUCUCCAUUUCUCCGGGGAAGCCUCGAGGCACCGACGUCACGGGCGCUCGUCGGCCACCGCGUCCCAUCCAGCCGUGGUGGCACUGUGGUCCACCUCCAGCCACCCUGUGACCCCCUCCCUGUGCGCGGCGAGGAGUAGCGGAGUCCCCACGCUUGCUGGCCGGUCCUCCCGCGGUCGCUAGCUGCCGGCUGACCAGCGACCCGAUCUCUUCUGUCCCCGCGGCGAGAGGAAGAAGAAGCUAGGAGGAGGAGAGAGAGAGAGAUGGGGUAGGGCCCUCGUGUAAUAGGGAGAGAAGACGCUUCGAGCUAAGUGUAAAAAUAAACGUAGAAUUGAAGCAUCGAUGGCCGAGGCAUUCAUUACUGAGGAGGCGGCAAACUUCAUGACAGCACACUACGAAGCCAAAAAUCAUCAUUUGCAUAACCCGAAGCCUCGGUAAAAUGAUGGCGAUCGAAAAAAAGUUCGAUCCAACCUCAGCCUAUUCAAAGGUAAGCUCGCACCAUCCGGUGCUUCCAAUGGGAAAUCGUUGGAUGUCGAAGAAUGGCGGACCAUUUCAUUGUAUAUUUUCACCAACCUAACAGAAGUGCGGCCGUACAUUGAGUAAGUUCUCGGUAAUUUAUUGUUCCGCAACUUCUAAUUGCUUUGAACUACUCUUAUUCUCGGAUAUUUGAUAUAGUCGAUACGUUGCCGAAUUCUCGGAUGGAGCGGUCAUCGAAAAGGAUUCCGUCGAAGAGUAUGAGCUUCUCGCAAAGCAUGGAGGCGACUGUCCCGGUUUCAUGUCUUGGUUCCAACAAAGGGUAAUUAAUUACCAUUAAGGGCCCAUUUGAUUUCUUGGUCUAAUUUGCGGCUAAUGCAUCCAUUCUUUUGUAUUAAACUUGUAGGCUGAUGCAGAGUCCAUGGACGCCGAGUUGAGACAAGUCGCUAAUGGUUUUGACUAUAAGGUCCGUUCAUUUGACAAAUACAACAUCAACGGGUAUCACUUUCGUACCUUUGGCAAAGAGCUAUCUAUGCCCAACCUAAAGUCUACAAAUUGUUCUGUCUCUGCUAUCGGCGAAGGAGACACCGAGUAUUAUGGAAGAGUUGAAGCAAUUUAUGAACUUCUAUUCUAUGAUGAAAACCCACCGACCGUCGUAGUCUUCAAAUGUUAUUGGUUUGAGCCGAGGAAGACUAGAAGGACUCAUGAACAUAUAGGACUAGUCGAAAUCAACCAAAACACCCACUUAGAUGUUCCCGAUGUCUAUAUUACGGCUCAACAAAUGACACAAGUUUUCUAUCUACCGUGGGCCUACCAAACUGAUCCAAAUCUCAAAGGUUGGGAUGUCGUUUAUGAAGUGCCACCACAUUUUAGACCACCUACCGCCAAUGAAGAGGAUUACGAACCUCACAUUAACCCAGACACAUAUGAAGGAUAAUUCUUCCAAGAAACACGUAUGUCCAAGAAACGUUUCAAGAACCGCUCUACUUCACCCCAGAACAUUGAAGUAGACAGCGACAGUGAAUCCGUCUUAACCCCUGAGCCCGAACAGGAAGAGCUGGAAGAAGAAGAGGUUACUGCUGCGGAUGAUCUGUCACUUCUUGACCGAUUACAUAAUGGUGGCCUUCCACAUGUUCUUCAUGAUAGUGAUGAUGAUGAUGCAUUUAUUGAUGAUAGUGAUGAUCAUGAUGCAUUUAUUGACCCCGAAGCAUAUAUAGACGAGCACGAUUAUUAUUAGUUCAUGUCAGGUAUUCAACUAUUAUACUAUAUAUAAAUUUUGAGUUCAUGUUAGGUAUUCAAUUUUUAUUAGUCAUGUUCGUAUUUAUGACUAUGAUACACUUAAAUUAUAUACAUUUUAUUAGUCCUGUUGGUAUUUAUGUUGUACUAAUUUCAUUUACUCUUUGUCAUGACAGGUGUUGAAAGAUGGUGGGAAAGGGUCGAAAGCACUCUGCGGCUCCUUCUUCGUCGGCGGGUGAUGGGAUGGGUACUUCCAUUCCUGCCUCGCCUCUUCGGAGAGUGUUGCUCUCUACUAUGCAAGGAGCGCCCCCCGUGAGAGGAGGUCGACCCCCCGUGAAGCCGAGAGGCACUAAAGGUACACGUUGUAUUCAUGUUGGUAUUUAUGUUGUACUCAUGUUGUAUGCAUAUUGGUAUUUAUAUACAUUUUAUUACUUAUGUUGGUAUUUAUGUUGUACUAAAGGUACACGUGGCCGCGGGAGAGGUAGGGCGGUGGCUGCCACACCUUCUGAGGUGGCGGCUACACGGUCUCCGCCACCACCCCAAGCUGAUUCACCUAAGCGCAGGACUUCUAGGGUGGAUUUGUCUGAGGUGGAGGCUACACGGUCUCCGGUUCACGAGCCUCGGGUCGACGAGCCUCAGGUCGACGAGCCUUCGACCCAUGAGACUCGUAUCCUAGAGGCUUCCUUCCAGGCGACUCCGGAGCAAAGCAUGGAUGAGGGUACGUCCCAAGAGACCCAGUGUGAUGCUGGUAGAGACGUGGAGCUGGGUGAGGGGGCUACCGUCUACCAGCGUUGUAGUUCGGGGCUCCCGCUCAUGCCAGCGACCCCCGAGCAGAGGUGGUCGAUUAGGCCAAAUGGGGACAAGUAAGUUAAUUUACUCUUAUUUAACCUUUUGCCUUCGCGUUUUCUCAAAUAUCUAAUGUUUUGGCUUUAAUUUGUCAUACUGUAGGGGUUGGAUUGUUGCCAAGGGUGUCCGCAAGCCCAACAGCGUCCUUGGUGUUAUUUGCCGUAAAAACUUCCCAGGGUUUGUUACGUUGCCCGGUCGGGAGCGAGAGGUAGGAAUGACCUGGGAGCACUACUUGGGUGCCCCGGCCCCGCCGGAGGUGGAGAUCAACGGUGUUUUGUGCGACACGAGGGCGGACAUGGUGAUCCGAAAGUUCUGGGAAAUUUCUCCUUCACACAAUUAUAAAUCAACUAUAGCUAUUUAUUGUACUAAUCGGUGUUGUAUCGUUUGCAGACCUACUACAGGUGUGAGGAGGGAUACGAGGAGGACGCGACAAAGAUCAUCGAAACCGAAUGUCGGCGCCUACUUCAAAACUUUCGGCACGAGGCUCGGGUGCAGGCUGUUCGAGACUACUAUGCCACGCGGCGUAUUAGGCUUGACAAGGCGAAGUGCCGUGAUUCUAAGAUGGAGAAGGAGCAUUACAUGAAGGUAAUUACAUAUUAUUAAGGCUUUGUAGUUAGUUUCCUUGAUUUGGUUCUUACGCGCUCAAAUUUCUCUUUAUUAACUUAGGUGCCCCCAAGAUGGUGUGUGGAUAAGAUGGAUUGUUGGGAGGCCUUGGGGGAUCAGUGGUGCUCCGAAACGUGGGAGACUAGCCACAACAACGCCAUGGAGAGCCGUGGCAAAAUGGUUGGCGUGCCACACCAUCAAGGGAGCGUCAACUUAAUCCAAUUUGGCGAGAACUGGGUAUGUGGUUUGCUUCAUGCCUCAUGCAAUUCAUUCUCAAUGCUAUCUUGAGCCCUUUACUAAUAAAAUUUCCUCUCUCUCUCUUUUAGGCACGUCACAAUAAGACGGAGGCGCCAUAGAUGUACGACCUGUAUGCGAUGGCCCAUAGUGCCUCGUACAAGAAGGUCAAGGCAUUCUCUGAGUAUGACCUCGAGCAUCCAGAAAACUUCACCAACAUCUCCUCCCACCACAAGCUCGUGAAGUACAGAGAUCACGGGAAGGCGAGGAAAGUGGAGGACUUUAACCCGAGCGAGGGGCCUAUUGAUCCAGAGCUGGUGAUGAUAGCUGGCAACGGGAGGCCCCAUGGCUCGAUCGCCAUUGGAGACGGCCUUAUACGUUGUCCUAGCACUCUUCGGCAGAUAAAGGCACGCCAAACGAGCUCUUGUCCGGAGAUAACACGUCGUCCACGGCCAGUCGACUAUCUUUCCGCAUUGUGUUGUGCGUUGGAACCAAUAUGAUUACAUUGCUAACAAUGAGUUGUGUUGCAGGCUGCUAUUCGGAAAGAGAGAGAGGCAAUGCAGGCGGCUAUGGCGGAGAAGGAUAAGGAAAUUAGGGAGCUGGAGGAGAGGAUGAUUGCAUUGGUGGAGGCGGAGAGGGCACAGAAUGAUGCAUCUAACAGGGCCAUAUACGAGCUCUUCGUGGUAAGUUUCUUCUUCAUUUUAUUUCAAAUCUUGCAUUUGAAUGUCCGUUUCAUUAAUAAAUAAAAAAUUUGACUUGUCGAAACCAAAUGUACAGUCUAUGUGCGAGAAGAACGACCAAGUCCCUCCGCCGAUGCCAGUCAUUAACGUGGCGGGGACAGUGAGUUUCAUUUCAGUGCACUGAUCUUAAGAGUGUCCUCAUGCUAACUACACAUUGCAAACGAUGUUUGGUGCAGAAUAUCUCCCGAAACGCAUCGCACGACCCUUCUACAGUCGAGCCUUCUCUAGAGCAGCCUUCUCCAGGUGAAACAAGCCACAAUCACCGUGCUUCACCGUUGUGAUGACGAUAAUGGUAUGUUAUUUCUAGUGUUUUAAUAAAAAAUAGCUAGACUUCCAUCUAAAUGACAUAAUUAGCUUAGUUAGCUCCAAGAAAGGCUAAAUUGGCUAAUUAUCCUACAAAAUGACAUAAUUAGCUUAGUUAGCUCCAAAAUGACCUAUUUAAUAAAAAAUGACCUAUAGUUAGCUAAAUUCUCUCCUAAAUGUUGGGGAACGUCGCAAAGGAAACAAAAAAUUUCCUACGCGCACGAAGACUUAUCAUGGUGAUGUCCAUCUAUGAGAGGGGAUGAGUGAUCUACGUACCCUUGUAGAUCGUACAACAGAAGCGUUAGUGAACGCGGUUGAUGUAGUGGAACGUCCUCACGUCCCUCGAUCCGCCCCGCGAACAAUCCCGCGAUCAGUCCCACGAUCUAGUACCGAACGGACGGCACCUCCGCGUUCAGCACACUUUCAGCUCGAUGAUGAUCUCGGCCUUCUUGAUCCAGCAAGAGAGACGGAGAGGUAGAAGAGUUCUCCGGCAGCGUGACGGCGCUCCGGAGGUUGGUGAUGACCUUGUCUCAGCAGGGCUCCGCCCGAGCUCCGCAGAAACGCGAUCUAGAGGAAAAAACCGUGGAGGUAUGUGGUCGGGCUGCCGUGGAAAAGUCGUCUCAAAUCAGCCCCAAUACCUCCGUAUAUAUAGGUGGGAGGGAGGGGACCUUGCCUUGGGGCUCAAGGAGCCCCAAGGGGGUCGGCCGAGCCAAGGGGGGAAGGCUCCCCCCCAAACCGAGUUGGACUUGGUUUGGUGGGUGGGAGUCCUUCCCUUCCUUCCCACCUCCCUUUUUUUUCUUUCUCUUUGAUUUUUAUCUCUAUGGCGCAUAGGGCCCUUUUGGGCUGUCCCACCAGCCCACUAAGGGCUGGUGCGCCACCCUUAUGGCCUAUGGGCUUCCCCGGAGUGGGUUGCCCCCCCGGUGAACUUCCGGAACCCAUUCGUCAUUCCCGGUACAUUCCCGGUAACUCCGAAAACCUUCCGGUAAUCAAAUGAGGUCAUCCUAUAUAUCAAUCUUCGUUUCCGGACCAUUCCGGAAACCCUCGUGACGUCCGUGAUCUCAUCCGGGACUCCGAACAACAUUCGGUAACCAACCAUAUAACUCAAAUACGCAUAAAACAACGUCGAACCUUAAGUGUGCAGAUCCUGCGGGUUCGAGAACUAUGUAGACAUGAUCCGAGAGACUCCUCGGUCAAUAUCCAAUAGCGGGACCUGGAUGCCCAUAUUGGAUCCUACAUAUUCUAUGAAGAUCUUAUCGUUUGAACCUCAGUGCCAAGGAUUCAUAUAAUCCUGUAUGUCAUUCCCUUUGUCCUUCGGUAUGUUACUUGCCCGAGAUUCGAUCGUCAGUAUCCGCAUACCUAUUUCAAUCUCGUUUACCGGCAAGUCUCUUUACUCGUUCCGUAAUACAAGAUCCCGCAACUUACACUAAGUUACAUAGCUUGCAAGGUUUGUAUGUGAUGUUGUAUUACCGAGUGGGCCCCGAGAUACCUCUCCGUCACACGGAGUGACAAAUCCUAGUCUUGAUCCAUACUAACUCAACUAACACCUUCGCAGAUACCUGUAGAGCAUCUUUAUAGUCACCCAGUUACGUUGCGACGUUUGAUACACACAAGGCAUUCCUCCAGUGUCAGUGAGUUAUAUGAUCUCAUGGUCAUAGGAAUAAAUACUUGACACGCAGAAAACAGUAGCAACAAAAUGACACGAUCAACAUGCUACGUCUAUUAGUUUGGGUCUAGUCCAUCACGUGAUUCUCCUAAUGACGUGAUCCAGUUAUCAAGCAACAACACCGUGUUCAUAAUCAGAAGACACUGACUAUCUUUCGUCAACUGGCCAACCAACUAGAGGCUUGCUAGGGACGGUGUUUUGUCUAUGUAUCCACACAUGUAAAUGAGUCUUCAUUCAAUACAAUUAUAGCAUGGAUAAUAAACGAUUAUCUUGAUAGAGGAAUUAUAAUGAUAACUAUAUUUAUUAUUGCCUCUAGGGCAUAAUUCCAACACUAAAUGACAUAAUAAGGCUUACGUAGCUGCAAGAUGACCUAUUCCCCCUAACUUAGGUAUUAAAUGGCCUAUAAUUAGCCUACCUAGAUCCAAAAUGGCUUAAUAAGCAUAGUUUGCUCCGGAAUGACCUAUUUUACCCAAGUUAGCUCCGAAACGACGUAUAGUUAGCUAGGGUUCCACCUAGAUGAAAUAAUUAGCUUAGUUAGCUCCUAAAUGGUCUAUUUAAUAAAACAUGACCUAUACUUACCUAAUUAUCCUCGAAAUGACAUAAUUAGCUCCAAAAAGGGAUUCUAAGCCAAUUUAGCCCGAAGAAGGGGACAAGAGGAGAAGAAAGAGGAAAAAUGAAAGGAAGGAAGAAUAAGAAGAGGAGAAGAAGAAGAAGGAGAGGGAGGAGGAUAAGAAGAAGGAGAAGAAGGAGGAGAAGAAGAAGAAGGAGCUCCUCCUUCUCCUUCUUGUUCCUCCUUCUUGUUCCUCCUUCUUCCUCCUUCUCCUUCUCCUUCUUCUUUUCUUCUUCUUCUCCUCUUCCCUCUCCUUCUCCUCCUCCUCAUACUUCUUUUAAUUCUUCUUCUCUUUCUCUUCUUCUACGUAGCUUAGACUCAUCCAAGAAAGGCUAAAUUGGCUAAUUAUCCUACGAAAUGACAUAAUUAGCCUAGUUAGCUCCAAAAUGACCUAUUUAAUAAAAAAAUGGCCUACAGUUAGCUAAGUUCUCUCCUAAAUGACAUAAUAAGGCUUACGUAGCUGCAAGAUGACCUAUUCCCCYURACUUAGGUAUUAAAUGGCCUAUAAUUAGCCUAGCUAGAUCCAAAAUGGCUUAAUAAGCAUAGAUUGCUCYGGAAUGACCUAUUUUACCCAAGUUAGCUCCGAAACGACAUAUAGUUAGCUAGGGUUCCACCUAGAUGAAAUAAUUAGCUUAGUUAGCUCCUAAAUGGUCUAUUUAAUAAAACAUGACCUAUACUUAGCUAAUUAUCCUCGAAAUGACAUAAUUAGCUCCAAAAAGGCAUUCUUAGCCAAUUUAGCCUGAAGAAGGGGACAAGAGGAGAAGAAAGAGGAAAAGUGAAAGGAAGGAAGAAGAAGAAGAGAAGAAGAAGGAGAAGGAGGAGGAUAAGAAGAAGGAAAAGAAGGAGGAGAAGAAGGAGAAGGAGCUCCUCCUUCUCCUUCUUCUUCCUCCUUCUUCCUCCUCCUCCUUCUUUUCUUCUUCUUCUCGGCUUCCUUCUCCUUCUCCUCCUCCUCCUCCUUCUUUUACUUCUUCUUCUCUUUCUCUUCUUCUACUUAACUUAGACUCAUCCAAGAAAGGCUAAAUUGGCUAAUUAUCCUACGAAAUGACAUAAUUAGCUUAGUUAGCUCCAAAAUUACCUAUUUAAUAAAAAAUGACCUAGAGUUAGCUAAGUUCUCUCCUAAAUGACAUAAUAAGGCUUACGUAGCUGCAAGAUGACCUAUUCCCCCUAACUUAGGUAUUAAAUGGCCUAUAAUUAGCCUAGCUAGAUCCAAAAUGGCUUAAUAAGCAUAGUUUGCUCCGGAAUGACCUAUUUUACCCAAGUUAGCUCCUAAAUGACCUAUAGUUAGCUAGCGUUCCAUCUAAAUGACAUAAUAAGCUUAGUUAGCUCCUAAAUGGUCUAUACUUAGCUAAUUUCUCUCCGAAAUAACAUAUAUAUACACUUCUUCAUCUAAUAUUAUUCUUCUAACUUUCUUAUUUGUCAUUUUGCAGAUUACCUUCACUUCACGGGAAGCUUGGGUUAUAUUGAUGGAAUGCUUGAAGAUGAUUUCUUGUACCAUGGGUUGUACUGAAACUAUUGUAGUAUAUGGAUAUAUGUGAAACUUUGUAUGCAUGUGGAUGAAACUGGUGUAAUAUAUGCUUUGGUACGGAUGCAACUUGCAUAAUAUGUAUGCGCUAUGGAUGAGAGUUAUUUUAAUAUGGUUAUGAGUACGGAAAGAAAUUUAUUUAUGUCAAAUAUAUAUAUAUAUCCUGAUUAUUGUUAAAAAUGCUGGAUAUAAUAAAAAAUAAAUUAAAAUGGGGCAGAUUCCCCUCUUUGCCGUCCGCCCCCACAUGGCAAAGGGGUUUAGGCAGAAGGCAAAGGGGGGNNNNNNNNNNNNNNNNNNNNNNNNNNNNNNNNNNNNNNNNNNNNNNNNNNNNNNNNNNNNNNNNNNNNNNNCCCCUCUUUGCCGUCUGCCCCCACAUGGCAAAAGGGGGGGUGGGGCAGACGACAAAGGGGUGAAUCAGCCCCCUCUACUCCCCCCUCUUUGCCGUCUGCCCCCACAUGGCAAAGGGGGGGGACGACAGACGGCAAAGAGAGGGUGCCUACCGUUAACACUUAGCGGGGCCAUUGCAGUAUAUGCCGUCCUAGUUAAUUUGCCGUCCGCCCCCUCAUGGCAAAGAUUCUUUGUCGUCCGCUUUACAAAAGCAGACGGCAAAGAACCUCUUCACUGGAUUUUUUUACCGUCUAGUUUGCCGUCUGCUGACCGACGACAAAGCCUUUGCUGUCCGUGGUUCCCCCCUUUGCCGUCCGCCGUGGCAGACGGCAAAUUUCUGAAUUUCAGUAGUGUUUUGUUGAUAGGUGAAACUGGGUGGUAUGUAUUUGGCUACGAUAUAGUUUGCAUAAUCGGCAUACCACGGUGCACUAAGUGAAGUGCAGAUGACAUUUAAUUGCUCAUCAGGAAAGCUGUCAUCAAUUGGUAGUGGGUCAUCAAGGACAUUCUCUAGCCUAGACAAGUUAUCUGCUACAGGGUCAUCAGCACCUUUUCGGUCAACGACGUGCAAAUCAAAUUCCUGUAGCAGGAGAACCCAUGUGAUCAGCCUAGGCUUAGUGUCCUUCUUCUGCAUAAGGUACUUAAUAGCAGCAUGAUUAGAGUAAAUAGUGACUUUGGAGUCAACUAUGUAAGAUCUGAACUUUUCACAUGCAAACACGACUGCUAAAAAUUCCUUCUCCGUAGUGGCAUAGUUUCUUUGGGCACUGUCUAGAGUUUUACUAGCAUAGUGAAUGACAUUCAACUUCUUGUCAACUCUUUGUCCUAGAACAACACCAACAACAUAAUCACUAGCGUCACACAUGAUUUCAAAGGGCAAGUUCCAGUCAGGUGGUUGAACGAUAGGCGCGGUUAUCAAAGCCUUCUUAAGUAUUUCAAAGGCUUCCUCACAAUCCUCAUCAAAAACAAAAGGAACAUCCUUCUGCAAGAGGUUGGUAAGAGGCCUAGAAAUCUUAGAGAAGUCUUUAAUGAACCUUCUAUAGAAACCAGCAUGACCUAAGAAACUUCGUAUACCUCUGAUAUCUGUGGGGCAAGGCAUUUUCUCAAUUGCAUCAACCUUAGCCUUAUCAACUUAAAUGCCUCUUUCAGAGAUUUUGUGUCCUAAGACGAUACCUUCAUUAACCAUAAAGUGGCACUUCUCCGAAUUCAAGACGAGGUUGGUUUCUUCGCAUCUCUGUAAGACCCGAUCAAGGUUGCUGAGGCAAUCAUCAAAGGAAGACCCUUAAACGGAGAAGUCAUCCAUGAAAACCUCAACAAUCUUUUUGCAAAAGUCAGAGAAUAUAGCCAUCAUACAUCUUUGGAAGGUGGCAGGUGCAUUACAUAAGCCAAAAGGCAUACGUCUAUAGGCAAAGGUACCGAAAAGGCAGGUGAAAGUGGUUUUCUCUUGAUCAGAUUGCGCAACAGGUAUUUGCGAGAAACCUGAAUAACCGUCUAGAAAGCAGAAGUGUGUGUGUUUUUAUGGCCUUUCUAGCAUUUGGUCGAUGAACGACAAAGGAUAAUGAUCUUUCCUGGUUGCCUUAGUCAGUUUCCAGUAGUCUAUCACCAUUCUAUAGCCGGUAAUAAUCCUUUGUGGGAUUAGUUCAUCCUUAUCAUUAGGAACGAUGGUGAUACCUCCCUUCUUAGGUACGCAAUGUACUGGACUUACCCAAUCACUAUGAGCAACAUGAUAAAUGAUUCCUGCUUCCAAAAGCUUUAAUAUUUCUUUUCUAAGGACCUCUUUCAUCUUAGGAUUUAAUAUCCUUUGAUGAUCAGCAACUGGUUUAAAGUCAGGAUCGGUUUUAAUCUUGUGCUGACAUAGAGUACGACUAAUACCCUUAAGAUCAUCAAGAGUAUAUCCAAUAGCAGCGCGGUGCUUCCUCAGAGUUUUUAGUAACUUCUUCUCUUCGCGCUCUGAGAGGAGAGCACUAAUAAUGACAUGAUAUAUCUCCUUCUCAUCAAGAUAGGCAUACUUAAGAGUAUCAGGCAACUGUUUAAGCUCAAACACAGGAUCACCCUUUGGUGGGGGAGGAUCCCCAAGCAGUUCAACAUGCAGAUUAUUCUUGAGAAUAGGAUGUUGUUCUAAGACAAUUCUAUCUAUCUCAUCUCUCUCCUCCAUAUGCAUAUCAUUUUCAUGCUCAAGCAGAUAUUUCUCUAAAGGAUCCGUAGGAGGUACAUCAAUAGAGGCAAGAUCAAUGAUUUCAUCUCUACCAUACGACUCUCUUUCAUGGGUUUGUCUACCAAACUUGGAGAAGUUAAAUUCAUGAGACACACCCUCGAAACUUACUUUGACAGUCUGCUUAAUACAAUCAAUGUGAGAAUUGACAGUGUUGAGAAAGGGUCCACCGAAUAUGAUGGGACAAAAGCUAUCUUGUGAAGUACCAAGGACGAGGAAAUCAGUAGGAUACUUUGUCUUACCACACAAGACUUCUACGUCUCUCACAAUUCCCGGAGGGCAGAUAGUGUCUCUAUUAGCUAGCGUAAUAGUGACAUCAAUGGGUUCUAACUCAGCAGGUGCAAUCUCAUCCUUGAUUUCAUCAUAGAGAGAAUGGGGUAUUGCACUAACACUAGCUCCCAUAUCACAUAAACCAUGGUAACAGUGAUCUCCUAUCUUAACAGAAACAACGGGCAGGCCAACUACAGGUCCGUACUUGUCUUUCGCGUGAGGUUUAGCAAUUUUAGCGGAGUCCUCACAGAAUUUGAUAACAUGCCCGUCUAUGUCUUCGGCUAAGAGAUCUUUGAUAAUAGCAACACUAGGUUCAACUCUAAUCUCUUCAGGGGGUGCAAGUGGUCUAAUGUAACCCGUACGUAUCACAGUUGGAGCUUUAGAAUAAUCCUUCAUCCUAGCAGGGUAUGGUGGUUUCUCAAUGUAAGCACAAGGAACAAUAGGAUCACUAAAAGCUAUGAUUUUCUCCUCAACUAGAUUGGUUUUGGCUAUGUUGCUUUCUACAGGAGGAUGAUAUUUAAACCACUUCUCUUUGGGAAGAUCAACAUGAGCAGCAAAAGAUUCACAUAGAGAAGCUACUAUCUCAGAGUCAAGUCCAUACUUAGCGCUAAAAUCUCUAGAAGUGUUUUUCUAGACAAAAGAUUUAACACAAUCAAACUGGAAAUUCAUACCUGACUCCUUACCUUCCUCCAGCUCCCAAUCUUUAGAGUUGUGUUUGAUUCUCUCCAAUAAAUUCCAUUUGUGAUCAAUAUCCUUCUUCAUAAAAGAACCGACACAAGAAGUGUCAAGCAUGGUACGAUCUUCAUGAGAAAGUCGAGCAUAAAAGUUUUGAGUGAUGAUUUCUCUCGAGAGCUCAUGAUUGGGGCAUGAAUAUAUCAUUGAUUUAAGCCUCCCCUAUGCUUUCCCUGUCACGAGGCCAAAAGUUAUAAAUAAAGUUCCGAUCACGAUGUACUAAAUGCAUAGGAUAGAACUUUUGAUGAAAUUCCAAUUUCAACCGAUUGUAGCCCCAUGAUCCAGCAUCAUCACAUAGCCUAUACCAUGUCAACGCCUUAUCCUUCAAAGAUAAAGGAAAUACUUUCUUCUUUACCUCAUCCUCGGUCAAACCUGCAAGCUUAAAUAAACCACAAACUUCAUCUACAUAUAUUAGAUGAAAAUCUGGAUGUGAAGAUCCAUUUCCUGUAAAAGGAUUAGCCAGCACUUUCUCAAGCAUACCCAAAGGAAUUUCAUAAAAGAUAUUUUCAGUAGGUACCUCAGGUUGAGGAGAAACUCCUCGUGCUUCUGCUCGUGGUGAAGAUACCCCGAACAAACUCCUCAAAGGAAGAGUUUCCAUAGUGACAAGUGACAAUAAAUUUCAGCACAGUAUAUACAUGUUUCCUUACCAAUUUCCACUUACCAAAGGUGCUUCACUCCCCGGCAACGACGCCAGAAAAGAGUCUUGAUGACCCACAAGUAUAGGGGAUCAAUCGUAGUCCUUUCAAUAAGUAAGAGUGUCGAACCCAACGAGGAGCAGAAGGCUGUGAUAAACGGAUUUCUGCAAGGUAAUAACUGCAAGCACUGAAAGUAGCGGUGACAAUUGAUUGUGUAGCGAGGUGAAACGUAGCGAGAAAAAGUAACAAGUAAGAAGUAGUAGCAAUGGUGCAGCAAGUGGCCCAAUCCCUUUUGCAGCAAGGGACAAGCCUGAACAAAGUCUUAUAGGAGGAAAAACGCUCCCGAGGACACACGGGAAUUUCUGUCAUGCUAGUUUCAUCAUGUUCAUAUGAUUCACGUUCGUUACUUUGAUAGUUUGAUAUGUGGGUGGACCGGCGCUUGGGUACUGCCCUACUUGGACAAGUAUCCCACUUAUGAUUAACCUCUCUCGCAAGCAUCCAAAACUACAAAAGAAGAAUUAAGACAAAGUUUAACCAUAGCAUUAAACUAGUGGAUCCAAAUCAGCCCCUCACGAAGCAACACAUAGACUGGGGUUUAAGCUUCUGUCACUCCAGCAACCCAUCAUCUACUUACUACUUCCCAAUGGCUUCCUCUAGGCCCAAAUAUGGUGAAGUAUUAUGUAGUCGACGUUCACAUAACACCACUGGAGGAAAAACAACAUACAACAUAUCAAAAUACCGAACAAAUAUCAAAUUCACAUGACUAUUAUUAACAUGACUUAUCCCAUGUCCUCAGGAACAAAAGUAACUACUCACAAGACAUAAUCAUAAUCAUGACCAGAGGUGUAAUGAAUAGCAUCAAGGAUCUGAACAUAAACUCUUCCACCAAGUAAUCCAACUAGCAUGAACUACAAAGAGUAAUCAACACUACUAGCAACCUUACAAGUAUCAAUCGGAGUUGCGAGACGAAGAUUGGUUACAAGAGAUGAACUAGGGAUUGGAGAGCAGAUGGUGCCGAUGAAGAUGUUGAUGAAGAUGCAUCCCCUCCGACGAGAGGAGUGUUGGUGAUGACGAUGGUGACGAUUUCCCCCUCCGGGAGGGAAGUUUCCCCGACAGGAUCGUCCUGCUGGAACUCUAGAUUGGAUCGCCUCAUGUUCUGCCUCGUGGCGGCGGCGAAACCACGAAAAAGCUCCCUCUUGAUUUUUUCCAGACCAGGACGCUUCAUAUAGCAAAAGAGGGGGACUAGUGGGCCUUCAGGCAGCCCACAAGCUUGCUGACCACCACCAGGGGGGUGGUGGCGGAGUGGGGGCUUGGGGGGGCCCUGGUGGCCCCCCUCCGGUAGUUCUUUCGCCCAGUAUUUUUAAUAUAUUCCUGAAAAAAUCCACGUAAAUUUUCAGGGCAUUUGGAGAUGUGCAGAAUAGUGGACUAGGAUUUGCACCUUUUCCAAUCCAGAAUUCCAGGUGCCUGAAUUCUCCCUCUUCAAAUAAACCUUGCAAAAUAAGAGAGAAAAGGCAUAAAUAUGGUACCACAAGUAAUAUAACAGCCCAAAAAGCAAUAAAUAUCAACAUGAAAGCAUGAUGCAAAAUGGACGUAUCAGAGCCAUAAUACGUUUUCCCUGAAUUGAAAACGUACUGCAGCAAAUGCACUUUGUGUUUAAACCCCGCCAGCCGAAUCUGCUUUGUUGUAGACGUUCGCUAGUUAGCAGCAGAAAUGAAUACAUUUCUAUUUGUUUCUGUGCCUAACAAACGAACGGCCAUAACUUUUUUGCUCGUAGUUGCGGUUGAGUUAAAACCAGUGCCCACGUCUUCAUCUCGUCGAGCCCGUUUCGAUAAUAUGAUUUUCAUAAUAUGUCUGCACAGUGGAAAUGACUGUUUUGACCUUGCUCUCUAAUUGAGCCCUCCGAGAGGGAAACCUCUCCGGCAAAUCUUCCCGGUGUUUUAUCGUGCUUCUGCCUGGAGUAUUCGUCGACCCUCAGGCAAGCCAACCUCUUACCAUGAGUUUUGGUCUUGUGUGAUAACUUUGCUUGCAUUCUGUGUGUUUAUUUGUAUCACCUGUUAGCCUGCAUUUGCAUAUAACGGUGAUGGCAUUAGGACUAGUCACUAGUAUUACUUUUCAUCUAAUAUAUGCCCUCAAACCUUACUCUAUGAUGCUCUUACAUAUUAAAUUUAUAAUGCUUAUGUCCGAGUGUAUAGUGAUGUGUUGUGUGUGACUCUGACAAACCCUUGCUCGCAUUUUCUUCAAUAAUGGCACUAUGCCUGAGUCUGAGCUAUUUCCUGCGGUCCGAGGUGGAUGCCAAUUUUAUAUUCUUUUGUCAGCAGCUGUCCCGUGUUCUGAGCUUCUUUUCGACCGUCGUGGGCAACUCUUGAAUUUCUUUCCGUGGCGGUGACCCUAUGCUCUGAGUUGUUCUUCGGCCAUCUUAGGGAACUGCUACAUUCUUUUUAUCAACACCGUCUCAUGCUCUGAGCUGCUUUCCAACCGUCUUGAGUCACGGUUGAGUUAUUCCGGUAACGUCCCAGAUCUGUGUUGUAAAGAGCGUUCUGGUGGCUGCCAAUUUAUUUGCCGAUUUUAUGCGACGGUUCCGAAGGUCUAACUUAUAGCUAGAAUCUGUGAAGUAUUAGUUUCCCAGUUACAUUAUACUGUUGAAGAUUAUAGUCUAUGAUUACUUUGUAUUUCAUCCGACAGUUUAUGAAUAUGGUUUAACAGUAGUGGCUUGAUCUUAUUAAUUAUCGGACUGCUAUGACAUCGUAGUAUCAGCUAUGACAGAUAAUAUUCGGGAUAAGAUACCUAGUUGGUUGAUCGGAGUAACCUAUCCGGGCUCAUCAGUGCAACCACAUUUGCCGAUAUGGGACGGCCUUGACUUGGUUUGAUCGCGUGGUCUUUCACCGGUACCUCCAAAGAGGGAGGGUUAUGCAUGCGUGUUACCCUGAUCAGGUAGGCGGUGAUAAUCCUGUGAGCCAGUUGAGUUGUUUGUGCCGGCGUCCUGGAUGGGACAUUUUAGUUUGGCCACGAUGGUGGCACGUGUCAUAAGGACACAGGGCCACCCAGGGCACGACUCCGAGGGAGAAUGAUUGUCAGUGGUACGAUGAAAGAGUCACGGCUGAGGCAGGUUUCGUUGGAGCAACACUGGUCCACCCGAAUGGGAUCACAAGGUCAGUGCUCCAUAGUGUGGGUAAAGUGUGCAACCUCUGCAGAGUGUCACACCUAUUUGAAUAGCCGAGUCCAUGGUAUUAGAAAGCCCGACCAGACCUCAGUAGAUGGUCAACCAUAUUAGUGUUAGUAAUGAUGGUAGAACUCGUCUCGUGUGAACACCAGAGGAUGUUGAUAACAUGAGGUGUUGGCCAAGAGAAGGCUAUAUGAUGAAUGGUUAGAUGGCCAUGCGAUGGCAUUUGGAUCCGUUCCGAUCAGAUUACGAGUAUGUCGAGGGUUGUGGGACAACCCAGAAGAGAGUAAGUUGAUAUUCGGUGACAGUAAGCUGGUUAAGCACUUGUUAUGAUCCUUGCCAUGCUAGUGAGGUAGAUUACAUGUUUAUUCCAUGUCAUGCUGUGCUUGAUACAUAUUUUUCCUGUUAAUUCCAUUCCAUGCUUAGAAUAGAUAUUAUAUAAUUAUUAUGCUUGCUUUGUUAUCUGUUGUUUGGAUGUUAUGUAUUUGGUUGUCUUGCGAGUACAUUCAAAGUACUCACCUGGCCUAGCACGUGGCGAGUUGCAGGAGAAGACUCCUCGUGCUAGAUCGUAACCCAGCCAGUCCUGCGAGUUAUGGAGCCCAGCCAGGGACGUCGUUGCCGCUGUAUCAAGACCUGUGCUGUCAUUUAGUUAGCUUUGGAAUCAUGUAAUAUUGUUGUAAGGAACAGUAUUGUAAUAAUCCAUUAUAUUAAUAAAGCCAUUUUUGCCUGGAAUUGCUGUAUCAGGUCUUUGGCGUGCGUCCGGCAUUAUCCUGGGGACGGAUGUGCGUCGGCCCUCUAUCGGGUUGACACAAAGACGCCGCUAGCUGGUACACUUGUUAGAGUAGUGACCCUUCUGACCACACUUGUGACAAGUCACCUCUUACAGCGAACAUAAUUGGGGUUGAGGAUUUCCUUGCUUUUGAUGCUGAUACUUCUGCUGGAAAGCUGGGUUUGGUGGGUGGGAAGAACCACGACCACCAGACUGCUUGAACUGUUGAGGCUGCCGAGGAGGAGGAGAAACCUAGAACUUCUGCUGUUUCGUAACCACCAGAGUUGAGGAAUAGGAAUCGGAGUCUCUAAAAUGCUUCCUUGAGUUCUCAACUUUGAGCAAGGCUGACUCAUCACUAAGAUCCAAGUUGUAGAACUGGUCGAACUCAAGAGGAUCGUGCAAGGCAAGGGCCAACUACAAGUCUUACUUCAGACCACCACGGAACUAAUAAAUCUUGCUCUUCUGAUCUGGAAUGUCUUGCUUAGCAUAACAAGCUAGUUCCUGGAACUCCACAUUGUAGUUCUACACAUACAAACUCCCUUGCUUCAAGCGCUUGAAUUUCUCACGCAUCUUUUCCACAAAACUUGUUGUAAUAUAGUGAUCCUAAAAUCUCUGUAGAAAUCAUCCUAGCUAAUCACUCUGUCGCCUCUGGAAUCUUUCAAUUGUUGCCACCAUUAUGCUGCUUACCCCUUGAGUUGGAAAGUUGCAAACUUGACAAUGUCCUCUGGUGUGACAUUACUACACUCGAAGUGUUUGUUCAUGUCAUGGAGCCAGUCAUCCGCAUCAAAUGGCCGGUCAUAGGAGGUGAAGGACUUCGGACGAUUUGCCAAGAAUUGAUUCAAAGAAGCAAACUGCUAACCACCAUUGUUGAAAUUACCCUGUUGCCCUUGGUUCCUCUCUUGCAACAACUUGAGCAACAUUUGAGUGUUUCAUUGGUUGCCUCCAUCACAGCUUGCCAUGCCUCUUGAGGAGGAGGUGGAGGGGGUGGUGGAGGGUUUGAUUGUUCACCCUCAAGACCCGGAUUCUUCCAAGUUGGUGGAGCCAUCCUAGAGACGGACAACAACAUUAAACCAGAGAUGAAAAUUCAAAUAUGAAGCUGAUUCAAUGGACAAAAAUAUCUGAACAAGAAUUCNNNNNNNNNNNNNNNNNNNNNNNNNNNNNNNNNNNNNNNNNNNNNNNNNNNNNNNNNNNNNNNNNNNNNNNNNNNNNNNNNNNNNNNNNNNNNNNNNNNNAUUUGAGAAGGGAAGAAAAUAUUGGUUCCAACGUAGAAAUAUUUCUAGCUACCCAAACAACAACAUUUUCUAUCCCUUGAAAACAAAAAAGGAAUCCACCUAUUCACAAGAGUAUCAUGCUACAUAAAAAUUCCAGGCCAAAGUAAACAUAAAAAGCUAGAACUUUCAUGUUGGCACAAACUUCAUAGCAUGCAUAUAAUUAAUCCUAAAAAAAUAGACAAAAUGCCACCUCAUCACAAAAUGACAUUUUUUUAAACUUGCACAGAUGUGAAAUCCAAUGUCACCGUUGGAUUCCUUGAGAUUUUCUACCCCAUUUUCAUAUAUCACACUCAUAUACUUGCAUGUGUAAAACUACACAAAAAUAGAAAAGAAAAACCACUACAAAUCAUAACUCACUUGUAUGUCACAUCAGACCAAAUUUGGUAUAUGCCAGAUUUGGCAUAUUCCAUUUAUGGAAUUAUCCCACAAUAGAAUUAACACACCACACAAAAUAAAAUCACCACAGUAAUUAAUUUGAGAAGGGGUUCCCACUAGUCAUAGACACCAGGGGCCCGUAGUGCAUGACACGUGGGCCAGGCCCACUUGUUAGUGGCACAACUACAGAACACAACAAAGAAAUAAAAGGGUAAAACUACACAAAAACAGAAAAGAAAAACCACUACAAAUCAUAACUCACUUGUAUGUCACAUCAGACCAAAUUUGGUAUAUGCCAGAUUUGGCAUAUUCCAUUUAUGGAAUUAUCCCACAAUAGAAUUAACACACCACACAAAAUUAAAUCACCACAGUAAUUAAUUUGACAAGGGGUUCCCACUAGUCAUAGACACCAGGGGCCCGUAGUGCAUGACUCGUGGGCCUUGUGGCCCACUUGUCAGUGGCACAACUACAGAACACAAUAGAGAAAUAAAAGGGGAGUGUCGAGCCCACCACCUCCUGCUCUAACCAUAGUGCCCCCACCAUUGGGCUACACUAAUGUAGCUGCACUAACAGGGGGACGCGCCUUGCCUGCGGCUGCUGCGUGCGCCCAUCCGUGCGACCCAGCCAUCGCACGACUGUGGCUCCAUGCACGCCACGCUCCAGAAUUCCUGCGAAAAAAUAAAACAAAAUACACAUCCUAAUACAGAUUUUUU
rnacentral:lncRNA from 1 species